rnacentral:rRNA from 1 species
ACGUAGGCAACCUGCCCGUAAUACCGGGAUAACCUGGGGAAACCGAGGCUAAGCCCGGAUAGGCUCCUUUUCCGCAUGGGAGAGGAGGGAAAGGGUGCGACCCGAUUACGGAGGGGCCUGCGGCGCAUUAGCUAGUUGGUGAGGUAACGGCCCACCAAGGCGAUGAUGCGUAGCCGACCUGAGAGGGUGACCGGCCACACUGGGACUGAGAGACGGCCCAGACUCCUACGGGAGGCAGCAGUAGGGAAUCUUCGGCAAUGGGCGAAAGCCUGACCGAGCAACGCCGCGUGAGUGAGGAAGGCCUUCGGGUUGUAAAACUCUGUUGUUUGGGAAGAAGGGAAAGGGUAGGCCCCUUAGGUGACGGUACCAAACGAGAAAGCCCCGGCUAACUACGUGCCAGCAGCCGCGGUAAUACGUAGGGGGCGAGCGUUGUCCGGAAUGAUUGGGCGUAAAGCGCGCGCAGGCGGUCCUUUAAGUCUGAUGUGAAAGCCCGCGGCUUAACCGCGGAAGGUCAUUGGAAACUGGGGGACUUGAGGCUAGGAGAGGGAAGUGGAAUUCCUGGUGUAGCGGUGAAAUGCGUAGAGAUCAGGAGGAAUACCGAUGGCGAAGGCAGCUUUCUGGCCUAGAACUGACGCUGAGGCGCGAAAGCGUGGGGAGCAAACAGGAUUAGAUACCCUGGUAGUCCACGCCGUAAACGAUGAGUGCUAGGUGUGAGGGGUUUCAAGGCCCUUCGUGCCGCAGUACACACAAUAAGCACUCCGCCUGGGGAGUACGGUCGCAAGACUGAAACUCAAAGGAAUUGACGGGGGCCCGCACAAGCGGUGGAGCAUGUGGUUUAAUUCGAAGCAACGCGAAGAACCUUACCAGGGCUUGACAUCC